AUUGAACGCUGGCGGCAUGCCUUACACAUGCAAGUCGAACGGCAGCACGGGAGCAAUCCUGGUGGCGAGUGGCGAACGGGUGAGUAAUAUAUCGGAACGUGCCCAGUCGUGGGGAUAACGUAGCGAAAGCUACGCUAAUACCGCAUACGAUCUAUGGAUGAAAGCGGGGGAUCGCAAGACCUCGCGCGAUUGGAGCGGCCGAUAUCAGAUUAGGUAGUUGGUGAGGUAAAGGCUCACCAAGCCGACGAUCUGUAGCUGGUCUGAGAGGACGACCAGCCACACUGGGACUGAGACACGGCCCAGACUCCUACGGGAGGCAGCAGUGGGGAAUUUUGGACAAUGGGCGCAAGCCUGAUCCAGCAAUGCCGCGUGCAGGAUGAAGGCCUUCGGGUGUUAAACUGCUUUUGUACGGUAACGAAACGGUAGAGCUCUAAUAC
rnacentral:rRNA from 1 species